ensembl:lncRNA
AGAAUAUUAUGUUCUUGUCAUUGACUUCAUUAUAAUAAUGAUACCUGAGACCUUCCCCAGGGUUCUGAGUGGCAGGUGCCUGGAAGCCCUGCCUCUCUCUCUCUCUCUUGGAAGCGGAAGUGUGCCGGCCUUGGAUCCUUCAGGAGAACCAGCGAUACAAGGCUUCCUAGGGAAGAAAUGGAUUUCCACAGGUGGGACAGGGGAGGAUAGAGCACUCCAAGCAGAAGAAAUGUCAUGUGAAAAGGCCCUGAAACUUGGAAGAGAGGGUGACUUUUUUCCUCUUCCAUGGCCUUCUGCCUGUGAUAAAACCACAAGUGCCUAUGAGAUCCUGGUGGAUUGAUCCUGGUGCUGUUGCCUCGAGGAGAGGAAAGCAGUCUGUGGGUCUGCCAAAGCAUCCCACGAGCUUCAGCUGAACCUCUGUGCCCUUGCAGUGCCGUGGGUGGUUUGGCAGAGUCCCUGUCAGCAGCCAGAGCUGUGCUGGCACAGAUGGUCCGGCAGCAUUUUCUCCAGACUGUAGCCUGCCAGACUCCUUUGUCCAUGGGAUUCUUCAGGCAAGAAUACUGGAGUGGGU